rnacentral:rRNA from 1 species
UACUGGGGAUGCAAGCGUUAUCCGGAAUCAUUGGGCGUAAAGCGUCUGUAGGUGGCUUAAUAAGUCUGUUGUUAAAGGUUAGGGCUCAACCCUAAAAAAGCAAUGGAAACUGUUAAGCUUGAGUAUGGCAGGGGUAGAGGGAAUUUCUAGUGUAGCGGUGAAAUGCGUAGAUAUUAGAAAGAACACCGGUGGCGAAGGCGCUCUACUGGACCAUUACUGACACUCAGAGACGAAAGCUAGGGGAGCAAAAGGGAUUAGAUACCCCUGUAGUCCUAGCCGUAAACGAUGGAUACUAGAUGUUGGAUUAUAUAGACAGUAUCGUAGCUAACGCGUUAAGUAUCCCGCCUGGGGAGUACGCUCGCAAGGGUG